rnacentral:rRNA from 1 species
GACGAACGCUGGCGGCGUGCCUAAUACAUGCAAGUCGAGCGAGCGGAACUAACAGAUUUACCUCGGUAAUGACGUUAGGAAAGCGAGCGGCGGAUGGGUGAGUAACACGUGGGGAACCUGCCCCAUAGUCUGGGAUACCACUUGGAAACAGGUGCUAAUACCGGAUAAGAAAGCAGAUCGCAUGAUCAGCUUUUAAAAGGCGGCGUAAGCUGUCGCUAUGGGAUGGCCCCGCGGUGCAUUAGCUAGUUGGUAAGGUAAAGGCUUACCAAGGCGAUGAUGCAUAGCCGAGUUGAGAGACUGAUCGGCCACAUUGGGACUGAGACACGGCCCAAACUCCUACGGGAGGCAGCAGUAGGGAAUCUUCCACAAAGGACGCAAGUCUGAUGGAGCAACGCCGCGUGAGUGAAGAAGGUUUUCGGAUCGUAAAGCUCUGUUGUUGGUGAAGAAGGAUAGAGGUAGUAACUGGCCUUUAUUUGACGGUAAUCAACCAGAAAGUCACGGCUAACUACGUG